CGGAGUAAACUACAUCCGUGACGUGAUUUGGUCGCGAUCAGCGAUGGAGAAACUGGUGUCGGUCUAGCUUACUAAGUUGAAAACGCAAUUGUUGAUCACAGAUUUCGACAGAAAUUCAAAGGAUCUGAGAGAAUUGAUGGUGGAUAUGAUGGGUCAAGUUAACGUUAAGCUCUUAGUCAGGUUUUUGGAAAGAAACAACGGUAUGUUCAUCGUUAGGACUCGCGGUUGUAGCCAUGCAGGAGACGAUUCAAGACAGUAGGACAGAUUUAGACAAAAUGCAGGAUUUUAAUGAAGACUCGCACCGGUACCCUGACAUGAACAUGUAAAUUUUUCGAGCCUCGAAACCAGCCUCGCUUAUGAUCAUGUCGAGUCAUAGCCGUGAUUAUUCUCUUUAGAGAAGUCGAGAGGCAUAGCCUACAUCGACUUCUCUUCGCAAGCAUUCAUAUUUUGAUUCUGGAAAACGUGUAAAUGCCGGAGUCGGUGACGGUUUAUGCUUCGACUGACGUUUCGACUCGUAUGUGCUUGGAUUUACGCAAUAGACAACUUGUUUUCAAACAUUUAACAGUAAUGCACAAAACUGUCACAAGGAAAUCAACACUUACUUGCUUUUAAUCCAUUUUCAACAUGCCCCUGUCCCGGGUUUAAAUCACAUCUCUGAUUACGUCAGCCUGCUUUUUUCUUAACUGGUCCCCUAAUUUGACAGCUCCCAAGACCAGUUAAUGUAAACCCGGGACAGGGGACAUGUUGAAAAUGGAUUAAAAGCAAGUAAGUGUUGAUUUCCUUGUGACAGUUUUAUGCCUCUCGACUUCUCUAAAGAGAAUAAGCCGUGAUGGAAGUUGCCAGGAAACAACAGGUUAACUUAUCAUCAUAAAGUAAAUAUGCUUACAUGUAUAACUCUGCCUACAUGUUUUCGCUUCCAAUAUCAUAGAACUUUUUUAAUUCGCCAUGCAGAAGUUGCAGACGGUAUUUAAAACUGUUUAAAAUAAAACAAGAGAACGGUAUGUUUAAUGUUUCUGUUUUAUAAAUUGAUGAAAUUC